rnacentral:rRNA from 1 species
AACGAACGCUGGCGGCGUGUCUUAAGCAUGCAAGUCGUGCGGCAAGGGUAGCAAUACCCCUAGAGCGGCGGACUGGUGAGUAACGCGUGGGUGAUCUGCCUCUGGGAUGGGGAUAGCCACUAGAAAUAGUGGGUAAUACCGAAUACGUUCGUCGGGCUGUGGCCUGACGAGGAAAGGCGCUUCGGCGCCACCCGGAGAUGAGCCCGCGUCCCAUUAGGUAGUUGGUGAGGUAAAGGCCCACCAAGCCGACGAUGGGUAGCUGGUCUGAGAGGAUGAUCAGCCACACUGGAACUGAGACACGGUCCAGACUCCUACGGGAGGCAGCAGUGGGGAAUAUUGGACAAUGGGGGAAACCCUGAUGCAGCGACGCCGCGUGGAGGAUGACGGCCUUCGGUUGUAA